AAGAACAAAAUACAUCAUCUUUGAGCUGUAACUUGGAGAAUCCAAAUUUCUGUCCACUUUGACAAAGGAAACAAUCGAGUCAGGUUCUCUAUCAUUACCAGUUUCCAUCGCCCGAUGAGCCCGCUCAGGCCAAAAACAGGUACUAUUGUUCCAUGGAUGGCUAGUAUAUCUUUACAUAUGGGAUUGUAGAAGCCAAGUUGUAAGACAUGGCAUAAAUCACAAUCUAUGCUAAAAAUAGAGCCCUUGUGCUCUCUUUAUCUCACAAGCAUCACACUUAGUGAUUGUGAUCUUGUUGUAAAUUCAGUGUGCCCCUAGAGUUGUGCAAAUUUGCUCUUUCUGUUGACAAUAUUAGUACAGAUAGCAUUCCUAGGAUAAUUUAUAAUAUUAGUACAAUAUUAGUACAGAUAGCAUUCCUAGGAUAGUUCCUAGGAUGUUUUUUCCUUUAUUUUUUGGUACAAAGGAUGUUUUUUCUUUAUUACUAAA